UCGACUUUUGAUUCUAUACUGCAAUUAGUAACACUUUUGAAAAAUGAUUCCGAAAAAAUUAAUCAAUGUCUGGAUUAUAGCAAUUUGCAAAGACUAACAGAAAACGAAAUUAAAUUUAUAGAAGGAUAUUGUCAGGCAAUGAAACCUUUGGCACAAGCCUUAGAUAUACUACAAAGUGAGUCAGGGAUAUAUAUGGGAUACUUAUUACCAGUCUUAAAAACUUUACAAGAAAAAUUAGAAAAACUCAACAAAAGUGGAUUUACUAAUUGUCAGUCACUAAUUACAGCUAUUCAACAAGGUUUAGAUAAAAGAUUUUCCACAUUACUUGAAAAAAAGAGCUAAUCAUCGCAAGUUGUUUGCACCCAAAAUUCAAGUUGAACUGGAUAAAUGGAGAAGAAAGGAAACUUGCUAAAAAUUAUUUAGAAGACUUAUUAGGAAUCCGUUCUAAUGAAAGUUCCCCCAAAUCCUGAUGAAAACCUCGACGAUCACGAUGACUUUUUUGCUUUUAACCAGCAAACAAAAGACGU